GUGCCGUUAGCUCAGCAGAAGAGCUCCUGGCUCUUACCCAGGGGGUCGGUGGACCAAUACCACCACGGCACACCA
rnacentral:tRNA from 1 species